GUGUUGGCUUUGUCAGCACAUAUACUAAAAUUAGAACUACACAGAGAAUAACAUGCACAAGGAUGGCACAUAAAUUCAUGAAGCAUUCUAUCUUUUU
ensembl:snRNA U6 U6 spliceosomal RNA